rnacentral:rRNA from 1 species
GAUGAACGCUGGCGGCGUGCCUAAUACAUGCAAGUCGAGCGAACGGACGAGAAGCUUGCUUCUCUGAUGUUAGCGGCGGACGGGUGAGUAACACGUGGAUAACCUACCUAUAAGACUGGGAUAACUUCGGGAAACCGGAGCUAAUACCGGAUAAUAUUUUGAACCGCAUGGUUCAAAAGUGAAAGACGGUCUUGCUGUCACUUAUAGAUGGAUCCGCGCUGCAUUAGCUAGUUGGUAAGGUAACGGCUUACCAAGGCAACAAUGCAUAGCCGACCUGAGAGGGUGAUCGGCCACACUGGAACUGAGACACGGUCCAGACGCCUACGGGAGGCAGCAGUAGGGAAUCUUCCGCAAAGGGCGAAAGCCUGACGGAGCAACGCCGCGUGAGUGAUGAAGGUCUUCGGAUCGUAAAACUCUGUUAUUAGGGAAGAACAUAUGUGUAAGUAACUGUGCACAUCUUGACGGUACCUAAUCAGAAAGCCACGGCUAACUACGUG